rnacentral:rRNA from 1 species
GAUGAACGCUAGCUACAGGCUCAACACAUGCAAGUCGAGGGGUUACGAGAGGAAAGCUUGCUUUCCUUGUCGACGACCGGCGCACGGGUGAGUAACGCGUAUCCAACCUGCCCCCAACUAGGGAAUAACCUUGCGAAAGUAAGACUAAUACCCUAUAAUUUCCUCAGAUGUCAUCUGACGAGGAAUAAAGAUUUAUCGGUUGUGGAUGGGGAUGCGUCUGAUUAGCUUGUUGGCGGGGUAACGGCCCACCAAGGCAACGAUCAGUAGGGGUUCUGAGAGGAAGGUCCCCCACAUUGGAACGGAGACACGGUCCAAACUCCUACGGGAGGCAGCAGUGAGGAAUAUUGGUCAAUGGGCGGAAGCCUGAACCAGCCAAGUAGCGUGCAGGAUGACGGCCCUAUGGGUUGUAAACUGCUUUUAUACAGGAAUAAAGUUAGCCACGUGUGGUUAUUUGUAGGUACUGUAUGAAUAAGGACCGGCUAAUUCCGUGCCAGCCGCCGCGGUAA